AGAGACGUCUUUCGGAUGUUAAAGCACCUUUCAGUCGGAGGAAGGGCUGUAGAUUAAUAAUCUGCAGCUAUUGACGUACCGACAGAUGAGCACCGGCUUAACUCUGGCAGCAAGCGCGGUAAUCAGAAGGGUGCAAGCCGUUAUUCGGAAUUAACUUGGGCGUAAAGCGCGCCGUCAGGUGGUUUGGUCAGUUCGAUAUGUAAAAGCCCGGGCUUCAAACCUGGGAACUGCACUUCAGAACUGAGCAAGCUAGAGUAUUGUUAGAAGGGUGGUGGAAUUUCCUGUGUAGCGGUGAAAUGCGUAGAUAUUGGAAGGAACACCAGUGGCGAAGGCGACCACCUGGACUGAUACUGACCCUGAAGUGCGAAAGCGUUGGGAACAAACAGGAUUAGAUUCCCUGGUAGUUCACGCCGUUAACGAUGUCAACUAGCCGUUGGGAGCCUUGAGCUCUUAGUGGCGCAGCUAACGCAUUAAGUUGACCGCCUGGGGAGUACGGCCGCAAGGUUAAAACUCAAAUGAAUUGACGGGGGCCCGCACCAGCGGUGGAGCAUGUGGUUUAAUUUGAAGCAACGCGAAGAACCUUACCAGGCCUUGACAUCCAAUGAACUUUCCAGAGAUGGAUUGGUGCCUUUGGGAACAUCGAGACCGGUGGCGCAUGGCUGUUGUCAGCUUGUGUCGUGAGAUGUUGGGUUAAGUCCCGUAACGAGCGCAACCCUUGUCCUUAGUUAGCCGCACGUAAUGGUGGGCACUCUAAGGAGACUGCCGGUGACAAACCGGAGGAAGGUGGGGAUGACGUCAAGUCAUCAUGGCCCUUACGGCCUGGGCUACACACGUGCUACAAUGGUCGGUACAGAGGGUUGCCAAGUCGCGAGGUCGAGCUAACCCCAUAAAACCGAUCGUAGUCCGGAUCGCAGUCUGCAACUCGACUGCGUGAAGUCGGAAUCGCUAGUAAUCGCGAAUCAGAAUGUCGCGGUGAAUACGUUCCCGGGCCUUGUACACACCGCCCGUCACACCAUGGGAGUGGGUUGCACCAAGAAGUAGCGUAGUCUAACCUUCGGG
rnacentral:rRNA from 1 species